UGUGUAAUCCCUCCGUUGCAAAAUACUUGACUUUCAUUUGUCCAAAAAUGGAUGUACCUAUAUACUAAAACAUGUCUAGAUACAUAUAUAUUUUGACAAAUAGAAGGCAUGUAUUGUGCAAUGGAGGGAGUAGAAU
rfam:Triticum aestivum genome assembly, contig: Triticum_aestivum_CS42_TGACv1_scaffold_515561_6BS